rnacentral:rRNA from 1 species
CACGCCCUAAACUAUGAUCACUCGAUGUUGGCGAUACACAGUCAGCGUCUAAGGGAAACCAUUAAGUGAUCCACCUGGGGAGUACGACCGCAAGGUUGAAACUCAAAGGAAUUGACGGGG